rnacentral:rRNA from 1 species
AGCAGCCGCGGUAAUUCCAGCUCCAAUAGCGUAUAUUAAAGUUGUUGCAGUUAAAAAAGCUCGUAGUUGAAUUUCGGGGUCAGUAGAUUGGUCAUCGCCUCCGGUAUGCACUGGUCUUACUGGCUCCUCCUUCCUGAUGAACCGUAAUGCCAUUAAUUUGGUGUUGCGGGGAGACUGGACU